rnacentral:rRNA from 1 species
UACGUAGGGUGCGAGCGUUAAUCGGAAUUACUGGGCGUAAAGCGUGCGCAGGCGGCUUCGCAAGUCAGACGUGAAAUCCCUCGGCUUAACCGGGGAACUGCGUCUGAUACUGGAUGGCUAGAGUUUGGGAGAGGGAUGCGGAAUUCCAGGUGUAGCGGUGAAAUGCGUAGAUAUCUGGAGGAACACCGGUGGCGAAGGCGGCAUCCUGGACCAACACUGACGCUGAGGAGCGAAAGCCAGGGGAGCAAACGGG